ensembl:lncRNA
AAAAAAGCUUAUUUGUUAUUAUGCUUUGUAUAAGGUCAUUUAAAAUCUAUUUGUUACCUAACAGAUGGAACAACAACAAAAAAAACCACCUACUUUGACCAAAUUCAGUUUCAUUUAUUUUUUCAUUAUUUAGUGCCAAAUCACAGCAGUUGCCUGAUGGCACUUUAUACUGUAAAGACCCUAGAAUAAUACAGAAAAAACAGAAAAACAAACAAACAAUCUGGUGACAACAUCUGGUCAUCAGACAAUCAGGUGAGCAAGUACUUUGGCAACAGUGGUAUGAAAAAACUCCCCUUUAACAGCGAGGAACCUCCGACAUACUCAGGAUUGGGAAGGGGUGGAGAUCUGCCACCACAAGUUUAGAGUGUAGGGGAGGAAGACGGGACAAAAAUAUGCUGUUGAACAGAGCCAGAGAUUAAUUAUAACUAAAGAUUAAAUGCAGAGUAGUGCAUAAACACAAGGCGAGUGAAAAAGAAAAACUCCAUGCAUCAUUGGAAGACCCCCAGCAGCCUAGGGUAACUAAAAGAGGAUUCAGGGUCAUCUGAUCCAGUCCUAACUAUAUGAAUCCUCACAAUGUUACUGGAGGCCAAAGUAAUACUAUCCAGAGUAAAUUCCUGGUUAGAUAGAGGUUUUUGGGCCGAGUACAAUAACGUCCUUUUUUGACUGGUUUUAAAAGCAGGAAAUUAGAGGACAUCCAGAUCUUUAUGUCUUUUAGACAUUCCUGCAGUUUAACUAAUUGCUGUGUGUUACCUGGCUUCAUGGAUAAACAAAGUAGGGUGUCACCUGGAUAGAAGUGAAAAUGUAUGCUAUGCCUCCAGAUGAUGCUGCCUAAGGGAUGCAUGUUUAAGGUAAACAUUAAUGGUCCUAGCAGGGAACCCUGUGGUACUCCAUAAUUAACCUUAGUGUGUGAAGAGGAAUCUUCAUUUACAUGAACAAAUUGGACUCUAAUACAGCGAAGUGAUUCAAAUCACUGCACCGCAGUACCUGUAAUACCUACAGCAUGUUAUAAUUGCUCCAAUAGGAUAUUAUGGUCAACAGUAUCGAACGCUGCACUGAGGUCUAGCAGGACAAGCACAGAGAAGAGUCCACUGUCAGAGGCCAUAAGA